CUUUUGUGAAUUUAUGAAUAUGGCAACACUGGUGCAUAGCUUGCAUAGAUAAAUUAUAUAUAGAUAAAGAAUUUGAACUUCGCACUAAGACUUGUUGGUGUCGCUUGUGAAUAUAGAAAAAUAAGUAUUAUCUAAAAACAUGCGGCAAGCAGAAUUCUGCUCUCAAUGGAAUGCAGUUUGCGUAGUUUGCAUCUUCAUAAUAUGCAUUUCCUUUCCCAUGAAGGAAACUAUGGCGUAAUGAACGUGUAUAGAGUUUCGUCAGUCAAAGCUGAAAAUUUGAUUUUUUUUAAUUUUUUUCGGGAGAGCUGUUUGCUUUGAAGAAAAAUACCGACACCUAUAAGCUUGACAUUAGCUGUCAAAUUUUGAGAGGAAAAAUAUUUCUGUUAAUUCAAUACUCUUUGAGGUUAGGACGUGCUCCUACAUGGAUAUAUUAUACAUAAAAUAUAAAGAAUUUGAGCUUCGCACAUAUACUGGUUUGUGAAUAUGGAUAAAUGAGAAUUAUCUAAGAACAUGCCGCAAGCAGAAUUCUGCUCCCCCCUGGACGCCCCCAUCUUAGUCGCAGAAUUCCUGGAUCUUGACACUCAAAAGAAUCUAGCAGACGAAAGAUAGAACACAACAAAAAGCUACAACAACAACAAAAUUCUGAAGAUACAAUCCCAUGCUGCAAUGGGAUUGAGUGCGUAUAGCUGGGCAGGUAAAUAAGUGACAUACAGUGGGAUUAGAAAAAAUUAGUGCUAAUUAGUCUGUCAAUUGUGCACGGAUACAGAUAUCUUUAAUGGUAAUAAAGUGUCCGUAGCCGCCACAUGGCCAAAUAGAAAUUUACUUUGGCCUCACAUCAGUGGUCGUAGCAAUUUAUCUAUCCCCAAUAUCCAAAAGCAUUAGAUUGUUAGUCUAAGGUAUCUUUGUCAGCACAACAAGUGUACUUUUAGUGAGAGAAGGGAGAUCGGUCUGUACGACUCUCCCUUGCUCGUGCCCUUUUCAUGUUUUAGUAGCGGGAUCAGAGUGCUCAUCUUCCAAACAUUGGCUAUUACAAUAGUGUUCAGAUAGGCUGAGGACAGUUGUAAGGUAAUCGACUCAAGGCAGAUCCAGAUUCAUCAGCAUCAGUGUAGAGAUUCUGUCUGGAACCAGCGCUUUGCGCGAAUUGGCGCUACGGAAGAUGCACGGUUGUUGUUGUAGCUGUGUGUUGUACACUGAAAGACUCCAUCGGGUCAAUGAAAGACUCCAUUGGGCUAAUGCGGUACGUACAAUCGGCUGCCAUGAGAUUGCACGGUAAUUUGUAAUGGCUGUCCAGCGGCAUGGAGAUCACGGAUAUACAAAUGGCUCCCCUUCUAGUCUUUUCACUCUCGGGUCAAUAAAUUGACGUUUAUUUAAGGAAAAUACC